rnacentral:lncRNA from 1 species
CUUGUACCAUCUGAACAUAAAGAAAUACUGAUUAUAACCACAAAAGAAAAAUAAAUAUGUUUCUAGAAAUUUUAACUCGCUCUUUCGCUGAUUUUUUUUUUAAUUUUAUUUCAUAUCAUACAUUUAGUAGAUAUUUUUACAAUAUGUUAUGCAUAAAUAAGCAUGUAUAAUGAGUGGCAAAUACAUUUGUCUAGUCGACCUCUAAAAUGUAAUAAAUUUCUUGGUGGAUUCAAUAAUGCAUUUAUAGGUUUAUAAACAGUGAACAUUUGUGAAAAAUUCCUACAAUAAUAAUUUCAAGC